GUCCUCGCAGGAUCACAUCUGGAGAGUUUCUAGUACUCUACCAGUCUUGGCUAUGGGAGGGAGAGUUAAGCAGAGGCAAACCCAUUCCAUUCUUAGCUUGGGCAGUAGCUAGCGAGUCGAAGACAAUCUGAUACAAGC